rnacentral:rRNA from 1 species
GCACCGCAACGGGAGGAUGCGUGAGGUUUAAUUGGAUUCAACGCCGGAAAACUCACCGGGGGCGACGGUUACAUGUGGGCCAAGCUGAUGACUUUGCCCGAAUUUCCGAGAGGUGGUGCAUGGCCGUCGUCAGUUCGUACCGUAGGGCGUUCUCUCAAGUGAGAUAACGAACGAGACCCUCAUCCCUAAUUGCCACCCCAUCGGUGACGAUGGGAGCACAAUGGGGAGACCGCUAGUGCUAAACUAGAGGAAGGGGAGGUCAACGGUAGGUCAGUAUGCCCCGAAUCCCCCGGGCAACACGCGCGCUACAAAGGAUGGGACAAUGGGCAUCAACACCGAAAGGUGAAGGCAAACCCGAAACCCAUUCGUAGUUCGGAUUGAGGGCUGUAACCCGCCCUCAUGAAGCUGGAUUCCGUAGUAAUCGCGGGUCAACAUCCCGCGGUGAAUAUGCCCCUGCUCCUUGCACACACCGCCCGUCAAACCACCCGAGUUGGGUCCAAAUGAGGUUCUGCCCUUGUGGUAGGCUCGAAUUUGGGUUCAGCAAGGAGGGUU